GGGGAUGAAAGGAUUUCGACGGGGAUUUUGAAUCCCGGUAAGCGAGCAGAGGUGCGGUACCUCUAUAAAAAUCGCAAGUUUAUUCAAAAUAAACGACAACAAUAACACAGUUUUAGCAGCUGCUUAAUUGCCGCUGCCGUUCCAACCGGGAGUACUGCGACCCGGAUUGGAGCGUCGAUUAGCAGUGAACGUGAACGGGUGAGCGUUUCCGUAGCCCGUCAUGCAUAACGGAACUGUCCGACCGUAAGCCUGCCGACAGGCGUGCGGAAAGAGAGACAAAAAAUAUCGGCUACGCUCGUAGAAAGCCGAGAGGAUGAGUUUUCGGACGCGGUUUCGAUUACCGCCAUCUCCACCA
rnacentral:tmRNA from 1 species